GAUCCCUCUCUCUCUUUGUACUAAUGCAGGGGAAAGCCGUGUGAGGACAGAGCCAGAAGACAGCCACCUGCUGGGAGGAGAGUCUCACCAGAAACUGAAUCUUCCAGCACCUUGAUGCAGGACCUCUAGCUUCUAAAACUUGAGCCUGUACCAGGCCCAGAGAUUAAAAGACAAGAUCUAUCUCAAGGGGACUAGAGUCUGCAGAAAAGAAUAUGCAAUGAAAACAAAUGGCAGAUACUAUGGCAGGGGAUUCUCAGACCUGCCUUUUGGGAUACUUGCCAAGUAAGAGCACCAGCCAUUCUGAUGCAAAGAACAAAGAAGUGUUGGGGGACUAAAGCAGUAAGGUGACCCUUGACAAAUGGGGGAGGAGAACUGGCAGGUGAUCUCACUUGACGGUUCCAGUAGAAUGUUCCACAGACAUCUCAGACUUCGCAGGCACGGGCCAGGAAUCCACCCACUUACCAAGCAGAGUCAGCAAGACAGAAACAACAGUUCAAGGAAUAAAAAUAUCGUCAUUCUUCUACCUUAGCAAGUGUUUUAUAAUUGCAGUGAGCACCGAGAAUCUUGGGGGGCCACUACACCCAAAUGUCUUGGUAAUAAAUAUAGGUCUGUGCCUGUGUCUGUAGUAUACCAGGGACCCAGGAGACAAAUAAGGUUGAAUUCCUCACAUGAGUGUGUUUUACGAGUGUUUUCCUGAGGAUCAUAGUAGAGGCAUUUACGGCCACAGAAAAAGAGACUUUUCAGGAGUCAUUUCAUGGGGCGAGAGACACCAAAGUGGUUAUAAAAAGUAAGGCACCUCUGCAUAGUACAUCUUUUGGAAAGCAGGGCUGCUGAGUACUUGGCAUCAUUGCCCCUCUGCUUCUCCAGGUCAUCUUCCCUUCCCUUUGUCCCCAAGGAGCUGUGAGAUCCAAAAAAACAGGUGAGGCUGAUUGCAACUGCUUCUGCUACUGAAAGAUUCUACUCCUUAAAACCAAAAAAUAUAAAAAGGGAUAAAAACUGCCUACACCGGAUUUUCUUCCCACCCCCUGGACAGCCCUGUCAUUUACAACACACAGGGCUCAGCCCUUGGCUGUCAUUAGCACUGAGAAAACUGUUGAACUCUUUCCCUUUUUAUGUAUUUCUCAAUAUUAGAGCCGCCACUCGGAUUUAUGUGCUCCAACAGAAAGAAUAGACAAAGAAGUCCAUGUUUCUGAAGGAACAGAAUCGUGUUCUAAAGGAGAAAUCAAAGCAAAGAGCAGAUUUGGGUUCAAGGAAAGGCCCCCUCCCAUAUCCCUGGAAUGAGUAUGGUUCCCUCCAAAGCAGAAAUGCCAAGUCCAUUCUCUUGUUAACAGUUGAGUUUUCUUUAACAUCUCUGUGUUUACAUAGCAUACUGUCUUUCAGCAAUUGGUAUGAGGGGGAUUCAUCUUAUA